CCUACGGGCGGCUGCAGUGGGGAAUUUUGGACAAUGGGGGCAACCCUGAUCCAGCCAUUCCGCGUGAGUGAAGAAGGCCUUCGGGUUGUAAAGCUCUUUCGGCAGGAACGAAACGGUGGGUCCUAAUACGAUCUGCUAAUGACGGUACCUGAAGAAGAAGCACCGGCUAACUACGUGCCAGCAGCCGCGGUAAUACGUAGGGUGCGAGCGUUAAUCGGAAUUACUGGGCGUAAAGCGUGCGCAGGCGGUUUUGUAAGACAGAUGUGAAAUCCCCGGGCUUAACCUGGGAACUGCGUUUGUGACUGCAAGACUCGAGUGCGGCAGAGGGGGGUGGAAUUCCACGUGUAGCAGUGAAAUGCGUAGAGAUGUGGAGGAACACCGAUGGCGAAGGCAGCCCCCUGGGUCGACACUGACGCUCAUGCACGAAAGCGUGGGUAGCAAACAGGAUUAGAUACCCUUGUAGUCG
rnacentral:rRNA from 1 species